rnacentral:rRNA from 1 species
AGUGAACGCUGGCGGCGUGCUUAACACAUGCAAGUCGAACGAGAACGGAAUAUAGCUUGCUAUAUUUGUCAGCUAAGUGGCGCACGGGUGAGUAAUAUAUAGAUAACCUGCCCUUAAGAAAGGAAUAACAGUUGGAAACGACUGCUAAUGCCCUAUAUGCCUUUAAUACAUAAGUAUGCAAGGGAAACGCUUUAGUGCUUAAGGAUGGGUCUGUAUGGUAUCAGCUUGUUGGUGAGGUAAUGGCUCACCAAGGCUAUGACGCCUAACUGGUUUGAAAGGAUGAUCAGUCACACUGGAACUGAGACACGGUCCAGCCUCCUACGGGAGGCAGCAGUGGGGAAUAUUGCACAAUGGACGAAAGUCUGAUGCAGCAACGCCGCGUGGAGGAUGACACAUUUCGGUGCGUAAACUCCUUUUAUAUAGGAAGAUAAUGACGGUACUAUAUGAAUAAGCACCGGCUAACUCCGUGCCAGCAGCCGCCACGG